UACGUAGGGGGCAAGCGUUGUCCGGAUUAUUGGGCGUAAAGAGCUCGUAGGUGGUUUGGUAAGUCGGAUGUGAAAUCUCCAGGCUCAACCUGGAGGGGUCAUUCGAUACUGCCAUACUAGAGGUCGGUAGGGAGUGGUGGAAUUCCGUGGUGGGAGCGGUGAAAUGCGCAGAUAUCAGGAGGAACACCCGUGGCGAAGGCGGCUCCUCUGGUAGCGUGACUGACGGCUGAGACGCGAAAGCCGUGGGGAGCGAACAGG
rnacentral:rRNA from 1 species